rnacentral:piRNA from 1 species
UGCCCUUAGGAAACAAACACAAACAGGC